rnacentral:misc_RNA from 1 species
AAUUAACAAAGGUCAGAUGUGAUAGGGACACAAAAAUGUCACUUUUGGAUCCCUAAUUUCUGGAAUUACCCCUAUUCCCAUCAACCUCUGCAAACCAUAUUGGGUACCAGAAUCUAAGUGACUGUGAUGUGAAUAGCAUUUCAUAUGAGUCCAUCACUGCCCCUGCAAGUCCGUCACAAGUUUAUAAGCUAUUCAAAUGAGCUGUGACUAUAAAAGCGUUCUUUUGUUAUUGUUCACUCCAUCCUGUUACUUAUGAUUGGCCUUAUGAAGGGACUCCUGAAAGGAGGUACCAGUAUGAUGGACUUACUCCAACACUGGAUGUGAAGUAUUCCGAAAAAAUAUUAAGAGCCUUUAGCUGUAGGAAUGUGGGAUACAAAAUGGCCCCCAUUUCACCCCCAUGCAUGUCAGAAAUCAAGUUAAGUACAUGGACAGCAUGUAUCUGACUAGUACUGAGGAACCAUGUUGUGUUCAAUUGGUUGUAUGUUGCAACUUCAUGGCUUACGUCUACAAGUUACGUGAUCAUUGAAUGAAAACAUGUACUUAAAAUGUAAACAUAUAGGAUUUUUCUUUUAAUGUUUUGAGAUUGAGGCAUUGAGCUGUCAUAAAAUGCAUGAAACAAAAAUUACAACUAAAAUCACUUUUAAUUGUCAUCACCUGUUAAUACAUGUAUUGUUUAUUUUUAUAUGGUUAUUUGUGUCAGUAUGGAACAUGUUAGUGAACUGCAUGGCGAAAAUGUGGCAAGAUUUGGAAGUAUUGUUCCUAAGCACUUUGAUACCAAAAUGUUACCAACCCCUCCGGGCAAGGAUCGCUGUAUCUUCCUGCAGACUUACCGAAAUGCAUAUACAGCUUGCUCCAGAAACUGUAGUUGUGACAUAACAACAUUUUCAAGUGUGCCUGAUUUUGUAUGCAAGUACAUUAUUUCCUUUUCGUCUGGUAAGUACAAAGGAUAUUCGAAACUUAAGACAUCAUUCUCUUGUAUGUUUUACAGGAAAAUGAUUUUAUUUUGGCAGAGUGUGUACAUUGCUCAAUCGAAAAUGAUACCUUCAGCUGUUCCUGUAACUUUUGUUAAUGUGAAUAUUAACAAGCAAUAGAGUUUCAUGUACACAGUGAGGUUUAACGACGUCAGUAUUUGCUCAGUUGUGGCAUUAUAACUCCUGUGUGUACGCAUGAAAUUUACCAUGCUCUGUCUGUUUGUUUACUUCAAAUUAGUUUCAUUUCAUAGACACGCAUAUAACUGUUUUUGUGGUUUGUGUGUGUUUUAUCUACAGCUGCAGUGGAGAUGUGCUUAAGAAGACAUGUCAGAAAUGAAGGACUGGAAAAAUUUGCAGAAGGAAGGAGAGAUCAACUGAUCAAGUGAUCAAGCCCAUCAACAAAGGAGCCUUGACGAAGUGGGUGGGGCAUAUCCCAGUAGACGUCUUG